GACUAGAAAAAAACAAACAUCAUUUGACAUCGAGUUUCUAAUUAAAUCAUGGCUGCAACUGGGCAACGUUAUUAUAAUAGUGAAGGUGGACGUGCUGCUACUUCCCUCAUUCCCAACAUGAAUCAAAUACCUGCAUUGAGUAAUGCAAGAGUGAGAUGAUACAUCUCAGCAAGCAAAUUAUUUUGACGAGAUAUUUAAACCACAAAUUGAAUUAAACAACAUUUUAAAGGAAUCUCAAUUGAGAUCAGAAAUACUUGUAGAUAUAGAACUCAAUAGUCCCAAUAUAACCAAUACCAUCUCAUUUCCUCGAACAACCACAAUAGGUUGUAUAACCCUUCCCUGCGUCAACAAUACCUGCAGAUAUCACUUCAAUGUAUGCAUAGGAAUGCAAUGUGUAGGUCAUCUGCCCUCAUACCUCUGAGAGUAUAAAACCACAUCAUCUGCUAAUAUCACUUCAAUGAAUGCAUAUAAAUGCAAUGCAUAUGUCCUCUGCCUUCAUACCUCUAAGGGUAUGAAGCCGCAUCGUACCCCUCCUCGGGCAACGUACGAUGCUAAGUUGUACCGGUACGGUCGGACCAUAGGCCACGACCCAACUUCAGAUGCAAAUGAAUAAUGUAAUUCAUAUGACAUGCUGCAUUUAUCAAUAUACUUCACUUCCUUCAGAUACAAAACAAACCUCAAAUAAUACUUCAUCUGCCUUCAGAUACAAUACAAAUCUCAAAUAAUACUUUAUCUGCCUUCAGGGGUGUAAAUUAAUCUCAUGGGUCAUACUCGAACCAUAAUCAUCAUCAAUAUAUGAUUGAGCAUAAGUAUAAUACAAGCAAGUAAAGCAUCACCAUAGAGUUCAAUUAUGAAAGAAUUCCAUAAUUCUGAAUAUUAGAGCGUAGGCGAUAAAAAAAACAACAAGUCAAAACGGUAGCAACCACUACUACAUUCACUUGCCUUCAUCGAAGAAGAAAGAUGUACUAGGCAUGAUCCGGAGUGUAGCCACCUGCUAGCGGGCAUAAAAAUUAGUACAAAUAUUUCACAAACAUUUGCUAACAAUCAACAAAUCGCUCGUACACUUGAAACCAAAUCCCGGUGGAAAGACUACCACCCUGAACCACAUGCCAAACAGCAGCAGCGCUGUUUGUUAAUUUUGUAUCUUUAAAAUUAUAACAGUGGUGAUAUUAAACAAAUACUAUAUGAGUGUGUACACAAAAUAUUCUAUAACUUCGGUAUUCAAUGGAUAAUUAAAUUCUGCCAUCUAUAAGUUCUAAAACAUCUGAUAAGAUAAAUGCCUGAAUAUGUUUCAGACAGCAGCAUAGUUAACUUCAAAAUUCAAUAUCUACCAAACUACUCAACCAAAAAUUAUGAAAUUCUGCUGGCAGUAAGAACUUUUAUCCCUCUACAAAUGUAUCCAUAGUUGGAACAGCCAAUUUGGCUAUUUACUAUAUGAAACCCACCAGUGAACAGACCCGCUCAUUUUUGUCAGGCAAACAGGAACAGCCACAGUAAAACAAACAUAACUGGACUUUCAUAAUUCAUAUGAAUGCGCUCUUUAACAAUCUGGAAAGCUUAUGAAAUUGUCUACAACUUCUUUUACAAUCCUAAAGUUUAAUUCUGUUGAUAAAAUUGCCUAAAGCUUAAGAGAAAAGAUUAUGUACAGAAUUAUGAGACUGAAAAACUGCUAUAAUCAAACUGCAAUAACUUCCUGAUCUGAUAUCCGAUUGAGGUGUUCUUUGCGGCCACGGAAAGAUCUACAAAUUAUCUACGACUCAUAGAUAGACUUUUUAUUUUUUUGAGGCCACUAAGACCACGGAAAACUGGCAUGAACAGAAACUAUUGAAUCUGCCAUUCUGCAGAAACUAAUUUCGAGAUUAAAAUCUAAUCUCCCAUCCAAUCUAACCAAAAAAACUAAUUGCAGGGCCUAAAACUCAUCCAAAACAAGGGAAAGCAUUCAUCAAGUGGAUAAAAGAGAGAGAGGAAAGGAAAUCCAACCAAUUCUUGGAGAGGAACGACGAUGAUGGGCGACGGUAUGCCCCCAUCUCCCCUCUCUUCUCUUCUUUUUUCUUCCUCUCUUCUCUUGGGGCAAGGCACAAAAGGGUGACGGCUGC
rnacentral:lncRNA from 1 species